GUGGGGAGAGGGCACCAUUUUAAUGAUUUCCAAUAAACUAGAACAAUCCCUCAGAGCUUCACAAGCAUUUGGGCACUGACAGUUAAAAAGAAUACACAGGUUUAGGUUUCCUGUAGUUACUAUCAACUUCUUUCUCAUGAAAGUUUGAAAAACUCUUGGUUUAACCCUUUGUGAUGCAGCGAUUCUUCCCUGUUAGCUUCUAAGUUCAAGUUACUUCUGAUGCGUCUAAACCCUGCUACAUCUUCUGGUGGCUUCUACGGUGGCGCAGUGUGUGUGAGAUCUUAGUUCCCCGAUCAGAGAUUGAAUCCAUGCCCCCUGGAUUGGAAGCACAGAAUCUCAACCACUGGACCACCAGGGAAGUCCUGACACCCUAUAUCUUGAAAGCUCUGGAGGCUGGGAGGUCCAAGAUCAAGGCACCAGAAGAUUCAGUGUCUGAAAGAAACAUUAAAAGGAUAAAUCAAGAAAUUUUGAAAGUGGUUACCUGCAAGGGAAGAAUGGGGUGGAAAGGAUAUGAGCAUACCUUGAUGUUCAAUCUUGGCAUUUGGAAGCAUGUUAAUAUCCUACAUAAU
ensembl:lncRNA